rnacentral:rRNA from 1 species
AUUGAACGCUGGCGGCAUGCCUUACACAUGCCAGUCGAACGGCAGCACGGGUGCUUGCCCCUGGUGGCGAGUGGCGAACGGGUGAGUAAUACAUCGGAACAUGUCCUGUAGUGGGGGAUAGCCCGGCGAAAGCCGGAUUAAUACCGCAUACGAUCUACGGAUGACAGCGGGGGACCUUCGGGCCUCGCGCUAUAGGGUUGGCCGAUGGCUGAUUAGCUAGUUGGGGGGGUAAAGGCCUACCAAGGCGACGAGCAGUAGCUGGUCUGAGAGGGCGACCAGCCACACUGGGACUGAGACACGGCCCAGACUCCUACGGGAGGCAGCAGUGGGGAAUUUUGGACAAUGGGCGAAAGCCUGAUCCAGCAAUGCCGCGUGUGUGAAGAAGGCCUUCGGGUUGUAAAGCACUUUUGUCCGGAAAGAACUCCUUGGCUCUAAUACAGUCGGGGGAUGACGGUACCGGAAGAAUAAGCACCGGCUAACUACGUG